GCUCUGGACCUGACUGGCUCCAUCUGGACAGGGAAGCCUUCUUCCUACCCCUGUCAGAGGGCUCUUUGUCCUCAAACACAGAAAGAGGAAUCAUCAGUAUCAGAGCUUCGCCAGCGCUAAUUCGUUUCUGGAUGUGGAUUUUCUGGCCCAGUAACCUAUUCAUCUGAUAUACCAGGUGCUCAGCAUCUGACCUGGCUUGUGGGAAAAAUGAAUGCUUCAGUGACUCUUAGCUUGUGAGCUUUGUAAAGGGAGGCUGCCACCAGCUUGGGAGUAGUACCUGGAGCGUGGGCGUUCUCCGGGGAAGCUGCCACAUGAGUCAGGCCUGCAGAGUUGUGGAGUGGAGUCCUUGAUGUGCUUGGUGAUGAUUCAGGGGCACAGCUGACACCUCGCUGUGCUGGGCUGACCGAAUAACCCACUCUUUCUGGACCAGAGCUGGCCUUUAUGGGUGGCAUUUCUGUUGGACAGCCAGUCUUGGGAGAGGAGCUUCUUGAUAAAGUAGCUUGCCCAUGGUGAAGGGGCCCAGUGGCGAGAAGUGAGCACUAAGGGUGAACUACAG